rnacentral:lncRNA from 1 species
CCUGUUCAUUAUACGGUGGUAUAUUUUGUAUGGUUUUAUCAUUUUCUCAUUCUGUUAUUGCUGACCUUUGAUGUGGUUGUGUGUUUAGCCCUAUAGUGGAAUAGAGGUGAGUCAGCCUGAGCCAACCAACGAGACAGGGGCUCACCGUCCUUCUGACACGCCCCUUCUCCUCCCUCAUCUGUUGAGUCUUCGCCCCAGCCCCAGCCCCAGCCCCAGCCCCAGUUCCAGUUCAAUAACAUGGGUGACUUUUUCAAGGACUUCACCGACUUCACCGACUUCACCAACUUCACCAACUUCACCACCUCUUUCAGCACGUCCACUACGAACACCACUACCACCGUCUUCCCGUCCUGUACUAGAAAUCAGAGUGGUCCCACUUUUCAACACUGGACCUCAAACAAUGAAGACAUGUCAGACAGGUGUGAAACCUCUUAAUUGCAACCGUUGCUACUUCUCCUUCCACUGCUGGAGGGAUUGUGUUGAGGUGGUCUGUGAUUAGGAAGAAUAUUACACCCUGUUUAGAUGCACCCUGAAUGACAGAUCUAUCAUUAUCAUCUAUCAUCAAUGACAGAUCUAUCAUUAUCUAUCAUCUAUCUGGUAUAUUUGUCAAGAAAAAUAGUUAUGUUAUCUUAAUUUGAUACUUUUUUUGUUUUAUGUUCUUUGAAGGCAUGCUUUAUUUAGAACUUUUCCAUUGGCCUGUUACACCACACAAUGCUUGCAGAUUUAGUUCUGGCCAUUAUUAAUCUGUGUCCUGUGCCUAAUAAGUUUCUGUGCCUAUUGUCUGUCAGAAAAGCCUAAUACUGAACAACUUUGUCAGGGGUAAAUGUUGCAGGUUUCCAAAACAGCUUUUUGGUAAUUUAGCCUUUGGGACCAUUUCUGUAGACACUAACCACAGCCUAUAAGAUCCACAGGGAGGUGAAGAAUUGUACUUGUUCAAAAAUCUGAAAAACAUUACCAAACACACACCAUUUCCUCACACCUCGGACCUGUGCAUAUGUUAUAUGUUAUAUGUA